GACGAACGCUGGCGGCGUGCCUAAUACAUGCAAGUAGAACGCUGAAGAGAGGAGCUUGCUCUUCUUGGAUGAGUUGCGAACGGGUGAGUAACGCGUAGGUAACCUGCCUUGUAGCGGGGGAUAACUAUUGGAAACGAUAGCUAAUACCGCAUAACAAUGGCUGACACAUGUCAUUUAUUUGAAAGGGGCAAUUGCUCCACUACAAGAUGGACCUGCGUUGUAUUAGCUAGUAGGUGAGGUAACGGCUCACCUAGGCGACGAUACAUAGCCGACCUGAGAGGGUGAUCGGCCACACUGGGACUGAGACACGGCCCAGACUCCUACGGGAGGCAGCAGUAGGGAAUCUUCGGCAAUGGGGGCAACCCUGACCGAGCAACGCCGCGUGAGUGAAGAAGGUUUUCGGAUCGGAAAGCUCUGUUGUAAGUCAAGAACGAGUGUGAGAGUGGAAAGUUCACACUGUGACGGUAGCUGACCAGAAAGGGACGGCUAACUACGUG
rnacentral:rRNA from 1 species